GAGGAUAGUGGCUUAAACUAAACCAAAGCAUAACACUGAAAAUGUUAGGAUAGGCUUACCCUCUUCCUCAC
rnacentral:tRNA from 1 species